AAAAUCUGUUUUAGAAAUACAAAAAGGAAGACCAAAUAUAAUUCAAGGGGAUACUGCUGAGCAGCGCGCCAGGGAGUCUCGCAAAUCAACUUCUUUCCCUUUCUCAAAAUAAAUUAACUCAGAUGUUAAACUCAUUUAAACAAAAAAUCUCCACUGCGGCUUUUUAAUGGUCUUUCCAGUCGAGGUUUUGUUUUGGAUACUUAUAGUUCAAAAUACAGACUCUGUAGGAAUGCUUGCGCGCAUCGGAGUUGUUUGGGAUCUUCACGCAGUGAAGCUAAGAGCCAUUAUGUUUAGUUAGUAGUCAUGCAAAGAGUCAGGAAGAGGGAGCAGCAAUGCAUUGGUCUGUUUAGAGUUAAAAGGAAGCCGCCAUGAUACGCGGCAGAGCAAGAGUCAUUGAUGAAGUUCGAAGGCCGAACUCCGAGCGCUAAGAUAUCGUUCACAAGCUCGAUGAAACGGGACAUUUUCAGACGUGCGAAACUUUGAUACCUCCUUGCAACACUUUGACCCGCGAGAAACAAAGCCCAGGAACGGCAAAACAGUUUGACACAGUUGUAUGCACUCAAAACUACAAAGAAACCGCCGAAACCCUGCACAGCUUCCCAUCAUAUGGAAAUAUUUAUCCGCGGAACGAGUAAAGGACAGAAAGGAGCUGCACGUCACGUACUAACGUUCAAGUGACAAGAAAAAUACUCUCCUUUCUCUUUGUAAAAACACAAGUCCAAUUAGGAAUUACAGCAAUAAGCGACGUGACUACGUGUACAAAAUAGAGACAACUUUAGUUUUAUUUCAAGAGGGAUAUCUUAUGACCGGACAUCGUCUGAAACAGUACUCUUGAAAACACUUGAUAUGACUGUUAAUGGCAUUAUAAAAACCUUGAAGACAGUUUCGAAUUAUGCCGACGUCUGUAUGUGUGUACGGUUCGAAAUAAAUUGAAUUCACUUUA